AUUGAACGCUGGCGGCAGGCCUAACACAUGCCAGUCGAGCGGACGAAGGGAGCUUGCUCCUGGAUUCAGCGGCGGACGGGUGAGUAAUGCCUAGGAAUCUGCCUGGUAGUGGGGGAUAACGUCCGGAAACGGGCGCUAAUACCGCAUACGUCCUGAGGGAGAAAGGGGGGGAUCUUCGGACCUCACGCUAUCAGAUGAGCCUAGGUCGGAUUAGCUAGUUGGUGGGGUAAAGGCCUACCAAGGCGACGAUCCGUAACUGGUCUGAGAGGAUGAUCAGUCACACUGGAACUGAGACACGGUCCAGACUCCUACGGGAGGCAGCAGUGGGGAAUAUUGGACAAUGGGCGAAAGCCUGAUCCAGCCAUGCCGCGUGUGUGAAGAAGGUCUUCGGAUUGUAAAGCACUUUAAGUUGGGAGGAAGGGCAGUAAGUUAAUACCUUGCUGUUUUGACGUUACCAACAGAAUAAGCACCGGCUAACUACGUG
rnacentral:rRNA from 1 species